ACAUGCUUAUAACAUAGCAUUAAUGCAUCAUACGCCAUUAGAACUCCGCAGUUAAGCAUUCUCGGGCUAGAUUAGUAUUGGGAUGGGUGAUUGCAUGGGAAGUCCAAUUGUUUUACAUGCC
rnacentral:rRNA from 1 species